GACGCACUUCUUCCAGCAAAGCUACCCCUUCCUCAAACGGAGACAUUUCUUCUUGAAAGCACCACAGGUGGGCUAGCACCUGGAGUGUUGCAAAUUGGUGCUUUUUCAGCCCUAGAGCCAACGAUGCUGCCAAAGGAAGCCCCAAGGCUUCCUUCUCACAUGGACACCAGGCAGGAGCUGCUGAGCUGUUGCUGUGACAGUCUUUGGAAACGAGAUGUGCGUGCAUCUACUCUGCAGCCAGGCUUGCGACACCUCUGGCCUCUGUGACUGCUGGAGCCCAUAGCUACUGCAAGGGACCAAUCAAUUUUCACAUUUCAUUGUCAUUAAUUCUGAAUUAAAAUGGGUACCCAGGA